CAGCCGCCACGGUAAUACGUAGGUGGCAAGCGUUGUCCGGAAUUAUUGGGCGUAAAGGGCUCGCAGGCGGUUUCUUAAGUCUGAUGUGAAAGCCCCCGGCUCAACCGGGGAGGGUCAUUGGAAACUGGGAAACUUGAGUGCAGAAGAGGAGAGUGGAAUUCCACGUGUAGCGGUGAAAUGCGUAGAUAUAUGGAGGAACACCAGUGGCGAAGGCGACUCUCUGGUCUGUAACUGACGCUGAGGCUCGAAAGCGUGGGUAGCAAACAGGAUUAGAGACCCCUGUAGUCCCUGUCUCUUAUAU
rnacentral:rRNA from 1 species